UAGGGAAUCUUCGGCAAUGGACGAAAGUCUGACCGAGCAACGCCGCGUGAGUGAAGAAGGUUUUCGGUUCGUAAAACUCUGUUGUUAGAGAAGAACAAGGACGUUAGUAACUGAACGUCCCCUGACGGUAUCUAACCAGAAAGCCACGGCUAACUACGUGCCAGCAGCCGCGGUAAUACGUAGGUGGCAAGCGUUGUCCGGAUUUAUUGGGCGUAAAGCGAGCGCAGGCGGUUUCUUAAGUCUGAUGUGAAAGCCCCCGGCUCAACCGGGGAGGGUCAUUGGAAACUGGGAGACUUGAGUGCAGAAGAGGAGAGUGGAAUUCCAUGUGUAGCGGUGAAAUGCGUAGAUAUAUGGAGGAACACCAGUGGCGAAGGCGGCUCUCUGGUCUGUAACUGACGCUGAGGCUCGAAAGCGUGGGGAGCAAACAGG
rnacentral:rRNA from 2 species